rnacentral:rRNA from 1 species
UACAGGGGGUGCAAACGUUGCUCGGAAUCAUUGGGCGUAAAGCGCACGUAGGCGGUCUGUUAUGUCGGAUGUGAAAGCCCUUGGCUCAACUGAGGAAGUGCAUCCGAAACUGGCAGGCUAGAGUACUAAAGAGGAUCGCGGAAUUCCCGGUGUAGAGGUGAAAUUCGUAGAUAUCAGGAGGAACACCGGUGGCGAAGGCGGGUCUCUGGGCCGUAACUGACGCUGAGGAGCGAAAGCAUGGGGAGCGAACAGG